UGAAGCCAAAGCACCACGUCUAAAGGGGGGCUGGGGGGAGGCUGCCGUCGCUGCUGCUGCUGCUGCUCCUGCUGCAUCGGGCUGGGGCUGGGGCUGCGCGGAGCCCUCUCCUUUGGCUGCUGCCUAAUCCCAUUUGCCAUUGUGCGUGCCCAAUCGCCGUAUACGCCCUGCAUUUAACUUGGAUGACAUUUUGAUUUCAUCAUUAGCAUCCGGCGCCAGAUUGACGCAGCAGCAGCAGCAGCCGGGCUCUGGUCCUCCUCCCCGCAGCAGCCCUCGGUCCCGGGCUCCGUGGCUCUGAGUGCCCCGCGGCUGAGCAGCCCCCCACCCCACCCCAUGCACGGAGGCGCUGCCUCCUGUCCUCGCCCCGCCGCCCGCCCCACCCCCGCCCGGAUUGGGUGCCCAGCGCCUGGGCGGCUGCCGCUGCCGCUCGAGGGGAGUUAGAGGGUGGUUUAUGGUCUGAGCCGCCGCUGCCCUGCCAGGGACCGGGAGGAGGAUGCCGGAGACAGGACAGGAGCCCCCGAGCAGCCAGCCGCCGCCGCCGCCACCCAAGGAGUCGCCUUUUUCCAUCAAGAACCUGCUCAACGGCGACCACCACAAGGCGCCUCCCAAGCAGCCCCGAGCGCUCUUCGCCCCGGCCGCCAAGGGGGCUCUGGAUGGAGCCGGCUUUGCCCUCUCCCAGGUGGGCGAUCUCGCCUUCCCCCGCUUUGAGAUCCCGGCGCAGAGGUUUGCCCUGCAAGCGCACUACUUAGAGCGGUCCCCAGCCUCCUGGUGGUACCCGUACGCCUUGACCGCCGCGGGAGGCCAUCUGCCCAGGCCAGAAGCUGCAGAGAAAUCUCUCCUGCGAGACUCCUCCCCGGCCUCGGGCACGGACAGAGACUCCCCUGAGCCCCUGCUCAAGGCUGAGCCGGACCACAAGGAGCUUGACUCGAAAAGCCCCGACGAGAUCAUUCUGGAGGAGAGUGACUCGGAGGAGGUGAAGAAGGAGGAGAACGGGGAGGACUGGAAAGCCAGGGAGGACAGCCCGGAGAAGAAGCCCUGCCGAAAGAAGAAGACCCGCACUGUCUUCUCCCGGAGCCAGGUGUUCCAGCUGGAGUCCACCUUUGACAUGAAGAGGUACCUGAGCAGCUCGGAGCGGGCCGGCUUGGCAGCAUCUCUGCACCUGACAGAGACCCAGGUCAAGAUCUGGUUUCAGAACAGAAGAAACAAGUGGAAAAGGCAGCUGGCCGCAGAGCUGGAGGCUGCCAAUCUCAGCCACGCGGCCGCCCAGAGAAUAGUGCGGGUGCCUAUCCUCUACCAUGAGAACUCCACCGCCGAGAACGGCAGCUCGGCUGCCAACGUGCCCGUCAGCCAGCCCCUCUUAACAUUCCCUCACCCCGUCUACUACUCCCACCCUGUAGUCACAUCAGUGCCACUCCUGCGACCCGUCUGAGAACUGACCCCAUGCAGCUUCCUGGUGCGCCAGUGGGGAGGGGGUGGCUUAAAAAAUAAAUAAAUCACCAAACCUCUAGGUCAGGAGAGAGGCCCGAGGAAACGGAGCAGCUGUAAAUGAUCGGUAAUUUUGUAAGUACUCCAAUGAUUUGUGCAAUUCAUCAAGCGAAUAUUUGAUGCUCUUUUUUUAAUGGGUGGUUGUUAGGAGAGGGGCGGGGGAAAACCCUAAAAAUAAAACCAGAGUUGAAGUGGAAACUUGUAGAGAACACUAGAAUUGUUACAUCUUUUGUAAACGUGAACAAAAUCUUGCGCUGAUCUUUGUGGCUUUAGUUUUAUUUUUGUAAACAACAAUCAAUAAAUGAUCACGGUUUACUCCUCUAUGUCUGCCAAAUGCUAACGGAAAAUGGAAUUUCUGUUCCUUCCCUUCUUUCUCAAACGUGUUAAUCCUCGUGGUUCUGUUACAACUCAAAGACUCCACCAACCGUGGCUUUUAAUUUAACCAGACCUUUGUACAAAUUUGCCUGGUCACUUUCCCAUGUUUUGUAUCGUUAGGUUUCUGUGAUGGGACUUUAUAGCUCGAAAGAAAUACAGCCAAAAAGAAAAUGCGUAAUUAUAUACACACUUUGGAUUCUACACCUGCUGCGUUCCUCACCACUCAAAGUGGAAGCAUCGCUGUGGAGUUCAUAAGAAUAUAAUUGCAGCAAUAAAAUGACAGUCCUUGUCUAGCAUGCACCAAAGCAUCAAACAAGAAGGAAUGAGUUUAGAAACACACAGGCCAAAACUCCUGAACAAAAACAUGUAAAAAAGGACGACAGGUGCAGGUACAUAACACUGCCUUUGCUUGCACCUUGUGGUUUAACCAGCUCCAAGUAUAAUCAAAAAACAUUUUUUCCUUUACAUUUUAUACUUUAAAUAAACCUUCCAUUGAGUGAGACUAGCAAUAACGUGCCAACACCUC